rnacentral:rRNA from 1 species
GGGUGACGAGCGGCGGACGGGUGAGUAAUGUCUGGGAAACUGCCCGAUGGAGGGGGAUAACUACUGGAAACGGUAGCUAAUACCGCAUAACGUCUUCGGACCAAAGAGGGGGACCUUCGGGCCUCUUGCCAUCGGAUGUGCCCAGAUGGGAUUAGCUAGUAGGUGGGGUAAUGGCUCACCUAGGCGACGAUCCCUAGCUGGUCUGAGAGGAUGACCAGCCACACUGGAACUGAGACACGGUCCAGACUCCUACGGGAGGCAGCAGUGGGGAAUAUUGCACAAUGGGCGCAAGCCUGAUGCAGCCAUGCCGCGUGUAUGAAGAAGGCCUUCGGGUUGUAAAGUACUUUCAGCGAGGAGGAAGGCAUUAAGGUUAAUAACCUUAGUGAUUGACGUUACUCGCAGAAGAAGCACCGGCUAACUCCGUGCCAGCAGCCGCGGUAAUACGGAGGGUGCAAGCGUUAAUCGGAAUUACUGGGCGUAAAGCGCACGCAGGCGGUCUGUCAAGUCGGAUGUGAAAUCCCCGGGCUCAACCUGGGAACUGCAUUCGAAACUGGCAGGCUAGAGUCUUGUAGAGGGGGGUAGAAUUCCAGGUGUAGCGGUGAAAUGCGUAGAGAUCUGGAGGAAUACCGGUGGCGAAGGCGGCCCCCUGGACAAAGACUGACG